rnacentral:misc_RNA from 1 species
GGAAGGAUCAUUAAAGAGUAUUUGUGCGUUAAGCGCAUAAACAUGAAUGCCCGAGCAGUUGCUCGUGACAUGAAAGCAUAUUUGAUUGUCUGAGUCUAAUUGUAUUAUAAAAUAACCUUUAACAAUGGAUCUCUUGGCUCUUGCAACGAUGAAGAACGCAGUGAAGUGCGAAAAGUAGUGUGAAAUGCAUAACUGUGAAUCAUUAAAUUUUUGAACGCAUCAUGCACCUUUUGAACAAAAAGGUAUGGCUGUUUGAGUGUUAUUAAAUUUCUGUUUUACAUUUUGUUAAACGAAAAUGUCAGAAAGUGCUAAUAUUUUCUGAUUAAAAAUAGUGAGUCGCUUUAAAUCUUAUAAAUUGAUAAUCAUUUAUUUAUACUUUUUAAAAGCUCAACUAUAUUACUCCUUUUUAACCUCAAAUCAGCCAAGUUUACCCGCCGAACUUAAGCAUAUCAGUAAGCGGAGGAAAAGAAACUAACAAGGAUUCCCCUAGUAACUGCGAGUGAAGCGGGAAGUGCUCAAAUUUAAAAUCUGGCAAAGUCUGCUUUGUCCGAAUUGUAAUCUAGAGGUGCUUUUUUGGGUGCAUAUCGGUGGCUCAAGUUCCUUGGAACAGGACAUCACAGAGGGUGAGAAUCCCGUCUGGGUCGCUUGAUAUGCAUCAUAUGAAAAGCUCCAACGAGUCAGGCUGUUUGGGAUUGCAGCUUAAAUUGGGUGGUAAAAAACAUCUAAAGCUAAAUAAUGGCAAGAGACCGAUAGCGAACAAGUACCGUGAGGGAAAGAUGAAAAGGACCUUGAAAAGGGGGUUAAAAAGAGUGUGAAAUUGUUAAAGGGGAAGCCUGUGUGUGUAGCGUUGGUUGGCGGUUGUUCGUAGUGUUAGAUAAAGGCUCGAGGAAGGUGUUGAAGGAGGCAACUUUUUCAAUUUAUAGCCUCAGGCUGCAAUAGUACUCUGGACAAAUCGAGGUGAAAAAUGGCUGGAAUUCAAGAAAUUCAUUCUAGCCGCUCUUUUCACAACUCUUCACUGACCUAAUGCGCAUCCAGGACCCGUCUUGAAACACGGACCAAGGAGUCUAACGUAUAUGCGAGUAUUUGGGAAUGAAUACCCGGAUGCAAAGAGAAAUCGAGUAUGGUGUGAUGAAAAAGCAAUUCUUUUUCUGCAACACCGGUCUGCAAAGGGAUUUCCCUUUGUUGAACCUUAGCAUAUCCGCUAGGACCCGAAAGGUAGUGAUCUAUACUUGGAUAGGAUGAAGCCAGAGGAAACUCUGGUGGAGGUUCGUAGCCGUUCUGACGUGCAAAUCGAUGGUCAAAUCUGAGUAUAGGGGCGAAAGACUAAUCGAACUACCUAGUAGCUGGUUCCCUC